GGGGCUUUUUUGCUCGUUGUUCACUUUCGCCUUCUAAGAGAGACUUAUAGAGCUCUCUCAAUUGCUCACUUCUGUGUAAGCCCAUAUUAUUGAUAUGGACAUCCUCAGCUUGAACUGUUUUCCUUGUCUUGAUGUCUCCAUUGUAGUAGCCAUCACACCAUUCCAGCACCCCAUGUUGCCUAGUCGAUGGUGACCAGAAAAUCGCAUAGCUCCACUGGAUGCUCUUGACAGCAACAGCAAGCUGCUUUCUGAGAAACCCAGGUUCGCAAGCCAUUAGCCAUAAGGGGCUUAAGAUUUGGUUCCAACGCC
rnacentral:misc_RNA from 1 species